rnacentral:lncRNA from 1 species
CUUUUAUUCCACUACAUUCAUAAAGAAAAUAUGUACUUUUUCCACAAUAUAUUUUCCCUGACACCCAAAAGUACUAAUUACAGUUUGACCUCAUAGCAGGACAGGAAAAUGGUCCAAUUCACACACUUAUCAAGAGAACAUCCGUGGUCAUGCCUACUUCCUCUGAUCUGAUACUUAAGUAUAUUUAAAACCAAAUACUUUUAGACAUUUACUCAAGUAAUAUUUUAAUGGGUGACUUUCACUUCAUUUUCUAUUACUCAAGUAAGCCGUCAUUGUAAAUAAGAAUUUGUUCUUAACUGACUUGCCUAGUUAAAUAAAGGAUACAUUUAAAAAAAAAAAUGUUUACAAAAAAUGACAAUUGGUCACUGAAUCUGUGGUGGCACUAGAGGGCAGAGAGUAAGAGCAGCACGCGGCCUUGCACAAUGUGGAUGUGACAGGAAGUGAUGCAUUUUGAUGGACCCCAGCCCUUUGGCCCACCAGCUCUCCAGACCAGAGGGGAGGGAAGGGAGAGGUGUAGUGUCAUUCAACAGGCCAGCUGCCUGAGAACCACUCAGAGCUCACUUGUCCAGAUAAGGAGAGAGAGAGAGAGCCGAGUGAAAUGGUUGACAGGAACAGAGGGGCAGAGAGAGAGAGAGAGAGAGAGAGAGAGAGAGAGAGAGAGAGAGAGCAAGAGAGAGAGAGAGGGAGCAAGAGAGAGAGAGAGAAAGAGCAAGAGAGAGCGAGAGAGAGAGCAAGAGAGAGAGAGAGAAUUGUGACAGAGAGGGGAGUGAUAAAGAGAGAGCAAGAGAGCAAGAGAGCAAGAGAGAGUGACGGACAGACCAUUCUGUGCAUCUAAAAUAAAAAUAAAGAUAAUAUUGAAGCAAAGUGACAGGCUGUGCAGUGGGACAGGGUUCAGUGUCAGACCCUCUUUAGGGCUAUACAUAGUCUCAUCAGCAGUUGCCCCUUACACCACCUGUACACAGUUCCCUCCAACCCCUCCCUACCCCUCCCUACCCCUCCCUCCAGGGUCCAGCUGUCCCAAACCCUGAUCCCUCCUUCCCAUCUCCAAUAUAAGGGCAGGAAUGCAGGGCCGAGCAGGUUCCCAGAAUAGACACAAGCAUCCAGUCCGACUAAAAGCAGCCAGACUGAUAGAGGGCACACCGCACACACGCGCGCGCACACACACACACACACACACACACACACACACACACACACACACACACACACACACACACACACACACACACAAACACACACUCUCCUCCUGAUUCCUCACAAAAGUAUGCAUAUAGGCGCUGCAUACACACACGUACAGUACAGUUGCCUACACACACACCCAUACGUCUCAAGACAAGCGCGCCUUCUAAGCCUGUCUAUUUGCGUGUUACAAUUUGCAUUUGAGUAGAGGAGGUGUUGAGAGGUGAGCAUUUGGCUCGACUACUAAUUACAAUUUAUGCCUGGAGAAUAUGACACCUCGAAUAUCAUCACUUUACUGUGUACUUUCUAAGGAACAGCCAAAGGACAUCACCCGGCUGCCACACAAUUAAUCAAUCUCAUCACCUUUACCUGGAGAAGUACAGAUGACUUUAUAAAUACCUGUCUAUAUGAGCUAAACGGAUGUGUGUUUUUAAGGGGGAAAACAUAUGGAGGGAAAGAUUUUAAUGAGAAGCAGGAAAGUGUACCAGAGGGAUUCUGUCUCUAAUCUAUAGAAAGCCCUUGUGUGAAAAGGAUUUCAUGCAAAGCAAUUUUCUCCUCUUAACUCAAGUACACCCAGAAUACACUCCCUUGGUCUAAAUCACACGCACGCACGCACGCACGCACGCACGCACGCACGCACGCACGCACACACACACACACACACACACACACACACACACACACACACACACACACACACACACACACACACACAUACCUCCACAUACCUCACAAAUGACAGGCUACUUUGACACUGACAAACUGAGUAUCUGAGAUCAAUAAAAACGACCUUGUCUUCAGUCCAUCAAUAGCCUAGACCUAGGUGUGUGGAGACACAAAUUAUACAAUAUGAGUCGGAAAAUAUAGUCCUAAAAAGCAUUCCAGUUUCACUGACUCACCACCCCAUGAUGCUCAGCUCACUCACCCGCGAAGCUUUUCUCUCUCUUGUUUUAUUUGGUAAAACAACACUGUUCGCUCAUUAGGCCUAUUUGGAAGUUGAUAACUUGUUAGCCUACAGACAGAUUAGUCUUCUAUUUUCAGCAGGAUCCAUUUGAUUGCCAACCUGUAUUUUUUUCCCGCGAUUGUAUUUGAAAUAUUGCGAAAGGCCUGUUUUGGCUGCUUGCUGUUCAUUGACAGAUUUUCCGCACCUAGGCAUGCCUCGUGAUUAGGCUACACACAGCAAAAAAAUAAAUAAUAUAAUAAUAUUGAUCAUCUGUGGCUAAAUUAUAGGCCUACUCCUAGUGUAGUAUUCGGAAUUAUUUCAUUUAUUUCAACAACAACAAAAAAGACAGCAGUAAUUCUAUAACUCUGGCAAAUGUAUUUCAAUUUAUCAGGGGUGCUGCGAUUCAGGGCAGUCAUUCAUUUCGAUUCCGGUCCGAGUCCGACACCCGAUUCAGAUCCGAUUGAAUCAGUUCCGGCCCCCCGGAAGAGGGCCGCUUCUGGGCCGAUUCCUCAUUGCUAGCUGGGGCGGCACCUCCAGACUCCUUCGCGCGGGUAUGAUUCUAUAAGGAAAUAAAUGAUGAAGUGCAACGCUGGAGAGUUGAGAGCUGCAAGCUCAUGUCGAUCAGAGUAGAGAGAGAGAGAGAUAUCACAGAAAGUGAAUCUCAUUCUAGUUCUGUGCGAUAUACUGGCGCGCUUCUCCCUCUCACCACAGCAAUGGCCACGCAUUAGUCUAUAUAGGCUACAAUGUCGCGCAAAUCAUAAACCCGGGCCUGCCCAACACCAGUCAAUUAUCAGGCACGUUUCCACUUUACGUUGUUUAGAGGGCAGCCAGGAGAAUUACAGAGGAGUCAACUUGAAUUAGCCUAACUCUGAUUGCUUUUAUUAUAAUUUUUACAUCACAAACAGUGACAAUUAUUUUUCAUGCCACGAGAGGUACCGGAUCCUGGAACAUGGAUUCCGUAAAGAAGCACUCCAAAACAGAGUUGCUGGGAUACCGCUCAAAUUAAGCACUGCUAGUUUCCCUCGAUCAUGUUUAGUACUUACUAUAGAAUGUUGAAUACUGUAGAAUACUACAGUAAAUACUACAGUAUUACCUGAAGAAAAAAAACACUGUAGUAAAUACUACAGUAAUAUCUGGAAAAACACUCCAGUUGCCAAUAAUAUUACACUUUUUUUAACAUUUCCCCACCCCCUAUCUCAAUUUGUGCCACACAUAAGUGACAAAUCUACAUGCCAAGUGUAGACCAUAUUGUGUUCCCUAAAGAGCAGAAGUGCUACCUAACUACAGAUUAUGGAAAAUAUGCUAUUUUAGUAUUUCUCCAGUAGGUUUCCUGAAGGAGAAAGCCUCCAUUUCUAUGUCAAAGAUAAUCAAACAAAAACACUAUAGUAAAUAUUACAGUAAUGUCUUCAAAAACACUACAGUAAAUACCACAGUAUAGUACAGUCCCCUAAAAACACUACGUUAAUUAGUAUAGUAAAGUCAGCAAAACCACUACAGUGAAUACUAUAGUAUUUAACCAUAGUUAUUUUACUACAGUAUUGAACUGUAAAUACAACAGUAAACUACAUUAUACUACAGUAAAAACUAAUUUGGUCCGCAAAAACAGUACAGUGAAUACUAUAGUAAAGUCAGCAAAAACAGUACAGUGAAUACUAUAGUAUUUAUACCAUAGUAUACUAUAGUAUUUUUUUUAUGUGGCCACAUUCUGCAGUGCUGUACGGUGCAGUAGAGAUAUAACAAAAGCAGCUCGGGGACAGGUAGAAUUCAGGCCAUACCUCAGUGUCCUUCUAAGUGUGCUACUCUCCUCUCCUCGGUUGUCACUAGUUACUACAGCCACAAAGUCAUAAACAUGCCUAUUUAAACAAUUUAUCUUCUUAAAAUGUGAUUUUAAACCGAACCCUAACCCUAACCUUAACCACACUGCAAACCUUAUGUCUAACCCUAACCUUAAAUUCAGACCAAAAAUCACAUUUUUGUUUUAAUUCAUUUUUACCAUAUAGACACUUUUGACUUUGUGUUUGUGCUAUGUAGUGGGAACUUCUGCUCCUCUCCUCUUAUCCUCUCUCCUCCUCUCUUCUCAUCUCCUCUCCCAGCCAAGGAAGUGUCUCCCUCAUCAAUUCACCGGGCUCUCAGGUGACAAGUUUGUGUUGCUCUUUAGCUCGUCCGCCUGUUCUUUAAUCAUUCAUUUUUUUUACAUUUGAUUUGUGUUGCAGUUCGUGUCGCUGUUGUUAUCUUCACGUGGGGACAGCUGGGGAACAGCGUUGACAUCUUAAUCGACCUGUUAAAGUCCUGUUCUGUAGAAGCCUAACCAAGCCCUGGUAGCAAUAGGUGCAGUACACGUUGUAGUCACAUUCACAUUCAGGUUAGCACUUUGAGGUGUCAGUGAGUUACAGUGCGACAAGGUGUACCACUUUGUUCAGCGUUUAUCCUGAAAUGAUUUAGAUGUUACUUUCUGGUUUUGAACGUGACCUGGUUUUGAACGUGACCUGGUUUUGAAUGUUAGAGGUCAUAUCUGAGAAUGUAGAGUAACUACUGAUGUUGGUGAUACUGGGAUAGGAACCCAGCUGUGUGUAUGUGUGAGUCUGAGUGUGACUUUGUGUAUUCAUGCAUGCAUGUAUGUUAAUACUUAGAUAUGAGUGUGCAUCCCAUACUAUGUCCGCAAGAUACUGUACCUACAUAUCUCCCUGUGGACAAGCAUCCGAGAGAAAGAGAAGAGAAGGAGUGGGAAGAUAUAAAGGCUGCAUUUAGACAGGGAGCCCAGUUCUGAUAUUUGUUCCACUACUUGGUCUUUUGACCAAUCACAUCAGAUCUUUUCACAGCAGAUCUUUUUCAGAGCUGAUCUGAUUGGUCAAAAGACCAAUUAGUGAAAACAAGAUCAGAACUGGGCUGCCUGUCUAGAUGUAGCCUUAGAAACACACAUUGGAGAGACUGAGCAGUAUGCUGAGCAGUAUGCUGCAUUUGUAGCUACAUUGGCUUUCUGAUGGGAUGAGAGAUAGACUAGGGAUUGGUGAAGUUGUCAAGGUAUAAGGAGGAAAGAUGUCAAGAGGAAUGAUAGUACGGGACUAAAUAUCAUGAUAAUGUUAUCCUCCGAAACUUGGCAUUAAAAACACUUUUACUAUCAAUGGCUCAUUUUGUGGAGGCAGGAGUCUGUUGCGGGUGUGAAGUGGUUUACUUCCUAAUAGCUAAAUGAUCAGCUAAAGCUAAUUGAACAAGAAUAUGAGUGAGUUGCACCAAAGGCAAGCAGCACACAGUUAGCGGGUGGCUGAGUACACUGGGGCAGGUUAUACACUGAGGGACAACAUCGCCCUGAAGGAGAAAUGAUAGAGAAAUGAUAGACACAAUAAAGAAAUGAAGGUACAAAAGAUGUGGUAGUUAGGGAGGGAGAGUGAGGAAGAGAAGGGGAGAAAGUUGUGGAGAGAAAGAGGGGAGAGGGAAACAGAGAGAAAGAAAGAGGGAGGGGGAUUGAGAGAGAUGCUCUGUAGAGGUCAAUGGGAGUUAAUUCCUGAGGUGUCGAAUCCUGGAGGUUCAUUAGCAGUAUUGACAAGCCUGUGAUAAAUUAAUUGUUCUCUCAAGUUUGUCUGCAGUUUAUAUGCACUCACCUCCUGUUUUCUCUUACAUGCAAAAAAAGUGAGGGUUCCUCAAAGGUUCUAUGUGGAACCAUACUGACCAAAAUAACUAUUUGAGCCCUUCAAUUGUUCUUUGCAGUUUAAAAAAGGGUUCUUUCCUCUUUUGGUGAUAAUUAUUAGAAUAUUUUGGUGCGUGGUUUGCGCACAGCUCUUUUUGUGCAACCGUGAGUGUGUCAUUCCAGUUGAUCUAAUCUGUAAUGUUAUAAUAGUACAAAUGACCAUGGCCGGUGACGUUGUCUUGUGAAGACUCACGUAUGGUCUUGUGUCAAUUGAGAAAGGUUGACUAAGUCAGUAGUUUUCAAUUCUCUCCUCAGGGUCCCCAAGCUGUUCCAGAGCUAGCACACCUGAUUCAACUAUAAUAAAACCUAUAGAAUUGUAACAAUAUAAUAUAGCUAUUAAACCAGAAAAAAACAGUAUGGUUCUACAAAGAACCUUUGAGAUUGAGAAAGGUUCUUUAUGGAACCAUUCUCCAUAAAGGUUCUAGAAAUAAAAAAAUGGGAUUUAAAAAAUCAUAAAAAACAUUAAAAAUGGGAUUUAACCGUAGCGCAACCCUUUUUGAUGCUAUACCCCUGGGCACAUGUUUUGGUUUUUGCCCUAGCACUACACAGCUGAUUCAAAUAACCAACUCAUCAUCAAGCUUUGAUUAUUUUCAUCAGCUGAGUAGUGCUAGAGCAAAAACCAAAAUGUGCACCAAGGGGGGCCCCAGGACCAACUUUUUUAAUGGUUCUUUAUAGAUCCUUUGGAAGGGGAUCUUUAUAGCACCAUAGAGGUUCCAUUUAGAACCUUAUUAGCAUGGUUCUUAUAGAACCUUCAAAAAAAGUUUCCAUAUAGCACCGAAAAGGGUUCUGCUAUGAUUACAAGCCACACAACCCUUAUUUGGCACUUUAUAGUACCAUUUGUUUUUUGUGUGUAGGGCCCCACUCCAAUCUCCUUUGUUCUCUUUCUCCUCUUCACCUCCUCCUCCUCUCCUUUUCUCUGCUCUGUAACUGCCAUAAUUAUUUUCUCUGUUCCCUCCUACCCUCUUGUUACUCCAUGCAGGCCUAGGAAUUCAUACAAUGGCAUCGUUUUCUCCAAUAUCAGUUCUUUGUCUGAGUGCUUUCUAUGUGGAUGUGCAUUUGAUCGUAACAAUUCCACAACAACAUGUGUCUGUCAAUGAGCUCAUCCUUUCCUCCUUUCUGUUACCUCUCAUCCAGGACUCUGAAGCUGUCCCACCUCCUCAGACCAUACUGUAGGACUUCACACCAAAAAUGCUUUGCUAAAGCUGGUAAAAUGGAACCAAAUCAACUGUUCAAUGGAUUUGGUCCCCUUCAACCAGCUGUAGCUGUGCAUUGAUCACUCCGGAUCACUGAAGAGUGGGACCAAGAAUGGUUGACAGACACACCAAGACUCCAUCUGACUCACUGACCUGAGAACAGGGCUCACCAGAGGGAAUCUGGCAGAGACACUGUGUCAGGAAUGGACACACUGAUCCAGGAGCAGAAAAGCCCAACUGAACCUUCAGACCACAACUGGGUAGGCUGCAAGUAGGAAUGAAUAUUUUGUACACCAGAAGGGAUAUAGAUUUUUUUGCAAUAAAAAAUAGUCCAGGUAAUUACUUAUUUAGUGAGUCAGCGUUUUUGCCAUAACUAUGUAUUGUAAUGUUUUACAGUCGAUAUUGUUGCUAUCCUUUGUAACUGACUGUACUGGAAGGGAAAGGAGAAGGGGGAUGUGGGGUUGGUAAAUAAGUGAAGCAAACGGUUGUCUCUCUCUCUUUGACUCUUAAUGCAGACGUCUGAUCAAUAAAAACCCAUCCUGAAGUCCAUAAACUGCUGAAGUGGUCUUUACUUUUAAGUGUGAUCUUACUGAGGAGUGUGGGGGGAGGAGAAAGAGGAGGGAGAUAGUGGGGGAAAGGAUACACUGGUGGUGGGGAAGGAUGGGUAUGAAAGAAAAGAGGGGAGAGGAUUAGAAGAAUGAACUAGAUGGUUGAUUACACUAAUAGAAAUAGGAGUCAAACACACCAUAGAAACAUGCUGAGAGGUUAAAUGUUGCUUCCCCAAUUAAACACAGGAGCACGACCACAAGACUUGACCUUGGAAAGGGAAAGGAACGUGGUUACCACAUGUCCACAUCUACAGUACCUAUCAGACUCGCUACAAACAUUCCUCUAUAAUUAUUCACAUAAUCUGCCUCCAUAGAGUCCAUCAGUAUGUCUCUCUGUGUCGCUGUCUGUUACCGUGGUAUGUUAACCUGUUGCCCCUGGUUAAAACCACACCCACCCACCCACUUCAUCUCCUCUUCUCCCCGCUCCUCUCCUCUAUAUCUCUGGGCCUGGAGGUGUCCUCUGUGUCUCCAUAUCUCUGGGCCUGUGGAGAUAUCCUCUCUCCGGGUCUCUAUAUCUCUGGGCAUGUGGAGCUGUCCUCUCCUCUGUGUCUCUAUAUUUCUCUGGACCUGUGGAUGUGUCCUCUCCUCUGUGUCUCUAUAUCUCUGGACCUGUGGAUGCGUCCUCUCUCUGUCUCUCUAUAU